AUGCCGGGGGUGGCGGGACUCUCCUCCUCGGGAGGUGGUCAGCUAGGUGACUCUGUGGGGCAUGUGCUUCUUUGGUCCACGAGUGUCGUGAGAGGCGUGAGGCUCCUUCGGUGGACACGAAUGUGGUUCUAUGGUGAGUAUUGGCUCGUGCAGCUUUCGAAAGAGGAUGAUCGACUUCAAGCUCGAGGAUGGCCUCACAACGACAAGUGCAAAUUAUGUGACCAGGAGCCUGAAACUGCGGAUCACAUCGUGUUGCUGUGCUCUUACUCAAAAGAGGUUUGGUUCCAGUUCCGGCAGCCAAAUGCUGCGUUGUGGGAUAUUGCUGCCGUGGCCCAAUCCAUCUGGGAAUGCUGGGACAGAUUAUGCAUUGCAAACCGGCCAAAAGAGACAGUAAACGAGGAGAUCACAUUGGCGGCAUACAUAUAG
rnacentral:rRNA from 1 species